GUGAGGAAUAUUGCGCAAUGGACGGAAGUCUGACGCAGCAACGCCGCGUGGGCGAAGAAGGCCUUCGGGUCGUAAAGCCCUUUUCUGAGGGACGAGGCAGGACGGUACCUCAGGAAUCAGUCUCGGCUAACUACGUGCCAGCAGCCGCGGUAAAACGUAGGAGGCAAGCGUUAUCCGGAUUUAUUGGGCGUAAAGCGCAUGCAGGUGGUUCCGCAAGUCGGGUGUGAAAGCUCCUGGCUUAACUGGGAGAGGUCGUUCGAAACUGCGGGACUGGAGGUCGGAAGAGGGAAGCGGAAUUCCCGGUGUAGUGGUGGAAUGCGUAGAUAUCGGGAGGAACACCAGUGGCGAAAGCGGCUUCCUGGUCCGCACCUGACACUCAGAUGCGAAAGCGUGGGGAGCGAACGGGAUUAGAAACCCUGGUAGUCC
rnacentral:rRNA from 1 species